CGGGGUGUAGCGCAGUCCGGUUAGCGCGCCUGCUUUGGGAGCAGGAAGUCCCCGGUUCGAAUCCGGGCACCCCGA
rnacentral:tRNA from 1 species